UACGAAGGGGCUAGCGUUGCUCGGAAUCACUGGGCGUAAAGGGUGCGUAGGCGGGUCUUUAAGUCAGGGGUGAAAUCCUGGAGCUCAACUCCAGAACUGCCUUUGAUACUGAAGAUCUUGAGUUCGGGAGAGGUGAGUGGAACUGCGAGUGUAGAGGUGAAAUUCGUAGAUAUUCGCAAGAACACCAGUGGCGAAGGCGGCUCACUGGCCCGAUACUGACGCUGAGGCACGAAAGCGUGGGAGCA
rnacentral:rRNA from 1 species